GACUCGACAAGAUUGACGGCGUGAUCAUCAGAGCCUAAUUUAGAAGUCGAGUCGGAGAUGUAGUCCAAGACGGAGAAGAAGCUGUACCGCGGAGGCUUGGAUAAAUGGAUUGGAUCUUGUACCCCAUUCUUGCAUUCUGUCUCUUGCGUCUGCGAUUAGAUCUGCUGCUGCGGUCGAUUGGUCGUGUGCAGGAACAAAAAGCAGGUGCAACUCUUCUUCUGGUGAUAGACUGGGUCAAUUGAGUCUACACCGCCAAGCUCCAGAGAUCAAUUUCAAUGUGGUUACAGAGGCGAAACAUUAAGGGUGAGGCUUUGUAUUUCUUUGCUUGGCAUUUUGGAUUGGUGGUUUAAGAUUUGUAUUUCUUUUUGGAAGUGGUGGUGGAAAAGUUUUUAUACGGUGGAAGGAGAAAAGCAAGGCAGCAAGGGAACUUUUUAUGUGAUGGUGCUACGUUUGGAGGAAGAGAAUGUACUGCAUAGGUUGUGAUAUCGGAACUCGGCCGUUCAUGAACGACCAUAUGUUCCAAUAUUUAAAACCCCAACAGCCAUGUUGCAUUAAGACGUCGGCCGUUCAUGAACGACCAUGUUAGUCUUAAUUCAAGAGAAGAUUGCUCGGCCGUUCUUGAACGACCAUGGUUGUUUCAAAAGGGUGUUGGUUGUUCAUGAACAGCCCCCUUUUGCUUGAAGAAAACCUGUUAAUUCCCUGCCGAAGCAAGCAAGAGCAGCAUGGUGCAGUGUAUACCUGAACUUCUCCUUCGAGUUGCUUUGAUUUCGCUCUCUGUUUUGGCUGAGUCUUGGCCUCUUGUUUACUGAAUAUUUCUCUCUUCUCUCUCCUCUCUCCGUGUGUCUCUUCUCUCUCCGUGUGUCUCUCCUCUUGUUAUCUCCGGUGUUGCUGCCUAUAUAUUGUAGUCAUUGGAUAGGUGUCACCGGAUGGAUAACUACUUGUAUUUUGUAUUUGAAUUUAAAUAACAAGUCUAUCCUUAUCACUUGUUA